AUUGUACUCCCUCCGUUCGGAAUUAUCUGUCUCGGAAAUGGAUGUAUCUAGAACUAAAAUACGUCUAGAUAAUCCAUUUCUGCGACAAGUAAUUCCAAACGGAGGGAGUAUCUA
rfam:Triticum aestivum genome assembly, contig: Triticum_aestivum_CS42_TGACv1_scaffold_250465_3DL